rnacentral:tRNA from 1 species
UCCCGCGUAGCUCAAUCGGCAGAGCAUCCGCCUGUUAAGUGGACGGUUAUAGGUUCGAGUCCUAUCGCGGGAG